rnacentral:rRNA from 1 species
GCCCGAGUUGUAAUUUGGAGAGGGCAACUUUGGGGCCGUUCCUUGUCUAUGUUCCUUGGAACAGGACGUCAUAAAGGGUGAGAAUCCCGUGUGGCGAGGAGUGCGGUUCUUUGUAAAGUGCCUUCCAAGAGUCGAGUUGUUUGGGAAUGCAGCUCUUAGUGGGUGGUAAAUUCCAUCUAAAGCUAAAUAUUGGCGAGAGACCGAUAGCGAACAAGUACAGUGAUGGAAAGAUGAAAAGAACUUUGAAAAGAGAGUGAAAAAGUACGUGAAAUUGUUGAAAGGGAAGGGCAUUUGAUCAGACAUGGUGUUUUGUGCCCUCUGCUCCUUGUGGGUAGGGGAAUCUCGCAUUUCACUGGGCCAGCAUCAGUUUUGGUGGCAGGAUAAAUCCAUAGGAAU